rnacentral:lncRNA from 1 species
CAAAUACGUCCGAAACAUUCAAUUAUAAACAAUAUACGUUUUUUUACUAAUAUAUUAUAAAUGAAGUUAGCAUAAAAUGAUACGAUUGAGCUAACAAUUUAAACAUGCGACAUUGUUCAACGAAGUCAUAUAUAAAACUUUGGUGGAAUUAAAGUUUUCAUAAGAUUUAAAAUGAACGAAAUUAAUAACAAUAAUUUUUUACUCUAAAUGUAUUCAUAUCUUACAACAUAAAUAUUUUAAUGUACAAAACGUUUUGAAGGAAAAUAAAUAAUUACGAAUCAUCCAAUAUCAUACUGAACUGAAAUGAUAAAGAAUAAUGUACUGUAAAAGACAAAGUACAUAAACGGUUUUCCUAUUUUCUUAAUGACACAAAUGCUAAAGAUGGUUCGAAGAAGGUUUCACUAACAGAUAAUAAUCAUCCUUAUAAUGACAGAUUUAUAGCGUUGAAUUCAACAAGUUUGAAAAAAAGACGAAAGCGUAGUGGCUUAAUUUAAAUGAUUGAAUUAGGUACCCUAAGAAGUCCUAACGGUCUUGUCACAGAGCACCGCGGAAGUGCAUUUAACCAGGAAGUUCACGCCUCCUUUCUUACCAUGACGCGAAAUAUGUCCAAAGCUCGUUUUGAACCUGGAUCUCCUGCUUACAAAGCCUAUGAUCUAACCAUUGCGCCACGGCCGCACAAUAUUUGGCAUAACUUUUUUGUGAAUCAAGAAGCUCGUUUUGAUCAGUUUAGAAAAUUAAAAGGUUUAAAGAAAGAUAAGCGCUAGAAAAAAAAUGAGCUAAAACAAAAAGAAGUUACAUUAUAUUUUUAAAUAUAUUAGUUGAGGUUGAGAGUUUAUGUUCACUUAUUUUAGUUUAAAAGACAUCUUUGUCAGACACUUGUCUCAGAAAGCCAUAGCUAUUCAAAGGUGUCUAAAUUUUAUUACGCCUAAUACAGGUCUUUAAACGUCUUUAAAAAACGCUGAGAAGAGAAAUGUUUUUUUUUUAAUAUUGUUACUCUGUAGAAGUUACUGGUAUAUCUGUUACUUCAAUAAAGUUUUCAUUCUAUUUAUAAAAUAUUUUAUUUUUUCUUCAAACCUAAUAUUUGUUUAACUUUCUACAGGUAAUACUAAUAUGAAAACAAUUUUUAUUGUUUUUUGAUUUAUACUCGGGUAAAAUAUUCGUUUUCUUAUUUUAAUUUAUUGUUAAAAAAUAUAUUUUUUCAUUAUUUUAUUUUAUGGUUAUUUUCAAGAGAAGGCAGAGACACCAACAAAAAGCUUUGAAGUUAAUAAUAGUGAAGAGGAGGCAGAUAAUUAUAAAAAUCUUUGCAUCUAAAGACAGUGAAGUUUGCUGAAAGUUAUACAAAUGGAGAAGUAUUGAUGCGUUUCUUUCCACAUGUAGAAGUUAAUGCAUAUAGAAAGAGAGAUAAAGGAGGUCAGAAAAGUUGGCAGAAUAGUUUGUGUCGCAUUUGAGGAAGCGAAAUUGGUCAAAAAACUAGAAAAAAUCAAAAAAAAGUUAAAUGGAUCAAAUGUGAUAUUUGCAUCCAAAUUGAUGGUACCGUAUAAGAUGCAUUGUUUUUAAAAAUGAAACUUUAUUUUGUUGUGAACAUAUUUAUAUAUAAAUGUAAUAAUAAAUAAAACUUUAAAAAUUGC